UUUAAAUUGCCUUACUCCUUGCGGUGGAGGUCGCGGGUGGAGAGAGCGAGUACCCAUUUUGUUCAACUACAAGGCGGUUGUUUAGGCGGACCAAAGAAGUAAACACUGUGUGAAGGGGGAACACAUGUUCGGAGGGGAAAUGGGAACAUAAACCAUAAUAAAAGAGUAAGAUUGUACUUACAACCCCAAAAGGUAAUUUAUCGGAUCACAUCAUUUAGAAGUUCGAGUAGCUCCAUCUUCGGCUGGAUCUAAAAUCUGAAUCUAAGGAAAGAAGAUUUUAAAGACUUUUGAGACACUCCAUUUUGAGCUCUGCUGUUUUCAGCAUUGACUUCAUUCUCAGACACACCUCCCUUCAUUGAGUGGCUGCAGCAUCUCCAGGUUAUGGCAACAAAGGACACAAUAUAUGACCAACUGAGAGAAAAGAGAGAAGGCACAGGCAAAGUCCAUGAGUGUGGAGACCUCCCAGCUGUGAUAGCGGGACUUGUUAGCCCUGCUAGCUGCGGCACUACUGCGUGGCGUCAUUCAUUUGUUCUGUCCGGUCAGUGUGAUCAUGUAGUCAAAGCAUUCAGCACAGUUCUUAACAUGGUAAAUUCUCAAAUGUUAGCUGUUAUUUUAGAGUUGUAUUAUAAAUAACACAAAACUUAGAAUAUUCUUGAAAGCCUAAUUCAAGGAUUGAUGGGCUAAUUUCUCCCAUGACUAAGGAUACAAACAGAAAGAGGUAGAAUAGGUUGAGUAAAUCAUGAUACUUUUGGCAUUCCUGAAUAGUGUUGGUAAUUGUGGCUUUGUUGAUGUUAUAGAGGUAGCUGUAGCUUUUUUCUAAUGCAAAUUGGUUUUUCAGUGAAAAAUACUGGCUUUUCUCAAUUUAACCACAUCAGUGGACACUCCAAAUAAACUUUGGUUUGUGGAACACAUUAGAAGUGGAACUUAAAAAGCCAUAAGGGAGAGUUCCAAUUUAAAAUACCAGAAUAGUUUUGUUUUUUCCAGGUGGGAGAAGAGUAUUCUAUAUAUUUCUUAGGAAGUUUCUAUAUUUUUGAAGUACUGAAAGGCUUGCAGAUGAAAUCAUGUGAUGUUUAUGGUUGACACAGAAGGGAGGGGUCGGAACUUUUUCUCCAUCUAGAAGUUUAAAUAGGGACUUCUUUUUAACUUGGUGUUCAGCACUUACAGAUAAUGUUUAUUCCUUACAGAUAAUGUUUAUUCAAAGGAAUAAACAAUGCCUGCUGGACAUUGUCUAGAUCUGCCAUCUUUUGUGUUGCUCUGAGACAGUCUUUUUUUAUACCUUUCAUCUUGGAUAUUAAUAACAUUGUCUUUCACUUUAAUAAUGUUCCAGUUUCUUUGAUAAAUUAACACUUGAUGUGGCUUAGUUUGUCCUGUUCUUUCUUACUAUUUCAUCUGACCUGGCAUGGCAAACCAUAUAUAUAACAGGUCCCUUUUCAUAGAGUUCUGUUCAUGGGUGUGUGUGCUUGUGUAUUUGUGUUUAAGAUAGAUAUUAAUAUGAUUAUUCCUCCAAGCUAUGAUUUUUAGGUUCUUUUUUGCUUUGUAAAUUUCUGUAAUAAGGCAAAAUUACAAAUAAAGGAAGCUGCUGGGUUGACAAUUUUUCAUUUAAACUACAUUCUUUGCAUUAAAUUGAUAUAGAAUACUU